GAAGUCCGCCAGGCAAUCGCUGCGCGCCCUCGUGGCGCGUGGAGGAAAGUCCGGGCCCCGCAGAGCAGGAUGCCGGCUAACGGCCGGGCGCCGCGAGGCGACGGAAAGUGCAACAGAGAGCAGACCGCCGAUGGCUUGGGCUUCGCCGCCGACAGGCGGCAAAGUCCCCUUCGUGGAGGAGGUCGCCUUCGGGUGGCGUUUCUUCGCGGAAGGGCUUCGCCGCCGACAGGCGGCAAAGUCCUUUGAAGAGCUUGCUCUUCGAAAAGCACAGGCAAGGGUGAAACGGUGCGGUGGCGCGCGUAAGCGCGUCAGCGGCCAGGGCGAAAGCCUUGGCGGGUAAGAGCCCACCGCGGGACUGGCAACAGGACCGGCACGGCAAACCCCAUCCGGGGCAAGGCCAAAUAGGGGAGCGAUGGCGUGGCUCGCGCUGCUCCCGGGUAGGCUGCUUGAGCGCCGCGGCAACGCGGCGCCCAGAGGAAUGAUUGCCCGGCGCCGCGGACUCCGGUUCGUGGCGUUCGACAGAACCCGGCUUAUCGGCGGACUUCCUUC
rnacentral:RNase_P_RNA from 1 species